rnacentral:tRNA from 1 species
GCCAGUGUAGCUCAGUAGAUAGAGUGUUGGCCUGUGGAAUGAAGGGUCCCUGGUUCGAUUCCAGUCAAGGGUA